rnacentral:rRNA from 1 species
CGAACGUUAGCGGCAGGCUUAACACAUGCAAGUCGAGCGAGAAGGGGCUUCGGCUCCGAGUAAAGCGGCGGACGGGUGCGUAACACGUGGAUAAUCUGCCUCGUGGCGGGGGACAACAGUCCGAAAGGACUGCUAAUACCGCAUGUCAGGUCGGAAACUCCGGUUUCUGACGAAAAAGAGGGCGUCCGCAAGGAGCUCUCACCACGAGAUGAGUCCGCGUCCCAUCAGCUAGUUGGCGGUGUAAUGGACCACCAAGGCUUAGACGGGUAGCUGGUCUGAGAGGAUGACCAGCCACACUGGGACUGAGACACGGCCCAGACUCCUACGGGAGGCAGCAGUGGGGAAUAUUGGACAAUGGGCGAAAGCCUGAUCCAGCCAUGCCGCGUGAGUGAUGAAGGCCUUCGGGUCGUAAAGCUCUGUGGGGAGGGACGAAAAAGCGUGACCUAAUACGUCUCGCCUUGACGGUACCUCCUUAGCAAGCACCGGCUAACUCCGUGCCAGCAGCCGCGGUAAUACGGAGGGUGC